rnacentral:lncRNA from 1 species
ACCAAGUCCGAGUUGGCACGUUGGUGCUCGACCUUGGCGGACGCCGAUCGUCAGUCGAAGAGAUCAACUCUGAGAUUUCAAACUGGAUUUGUAUUCCGACUGGACAAAUACAGAGUUCAUUGGUAGUACAAUUUCAGGUUAUCGGUGUUCCACGUUCGGAGAAUGGGUUUUCCCUCAAGGGUCUCCAGUCGGUAGGCUCUCGGACCAUAGGUGUCUGCCACCUUGUAGGGCCC